rnacentral:lncRNA from 1 species
AAUAGAUAAAUUUGCUCGCUUUCGUCACGAAACAGUAGUCAAAAUGGAAAUUAUGUCACGAGAAGAGAAAUUCAAAGCCACGAAGCUGCCGAAGCUCAAAGCGCAAUUACAAAAUCGAGGAAUUACCGUUAACAGUUUACCUCAAACGCGGACUCGUAGCUAUUGCUUGUGCCGUCGAAGAAAUGAGUUUUUCAUUGCUUUUUCAAGUCAGUGAAGCCGAAGACCACUUAAAUCUAAGCCGUCGUUUGAAAGUUCACGAUAUUCAGCUGCCUGAUAGUGCCUG